rnacentral:rRNA from 1 species
UGAGCAAUCUGCCCUUCUCAUCGGAAUAAGCGUUGGAAACGACGUCUAAUUCCGAAUACGACCUCCUUUCGCAUGAUCGGAGGUGGAAAGCUCCGGCGGAGAAGGAUGAGCUCGCGGCCUAUCAGCUAGUUGGUGGGGUAACGGCCCACCAAGGCGACGAUCCGUAGCUGGUCUGAGAGGAUGAUCAGCCACACUGGGACUGAGACACGGCCCAGACUCUACGGGAGG